UCCGCAAAAUUUUUGGCGCCA
rnacentral:siRNA from 1 species